GAUGAACGCUGGCGGCGUGCCUAAUACAUGCAAGUCGAGCGAACAGACGAGGAGCUUGCUCCUCUGACGUUAGCGGCGGACGGGUGAGUAACACGUGGAUAACCUACCUAUAAGACUGGGAUAACUUCGGGAAACCGGAGCUAAUACCGGAUAAUAUAUUGAACCGCAUGGUUCAAUAGUGAAAGACGGUUUUGCUGUCACUUAUAGAUGGAUCCGCGCCGCAUUAGCUAGUUGGUAAGGUAACGGCUUACCAAGGCAACGAUGCGUAGCCGACCUGAGAGGGUGAUCGGCCACACUGGAACUGAGACACGGUCCAGACUCCUACGGGAGGCAGCAGUAGGGAAUCUUCCGCAAUGGGCGAAAGCCUGACGGAGCAACGCCGCGUGAGUGAUGAAGGUCUUCGGAUCGUAAAACUCUGUUAUUAGGGAAGAACAAAUGUGUAAGUAACUAUGCACAUCUUGACGGUACCUAAUCAGAAAGCCACGGCUAGCUACGUG
rnacentral:rRNA from 1 species